UCGGGAAUUUUGGGCAAUGGGCGAAAGCCUGACCCAGCAACGCCGCGUGAAGGAUGAAGUAUUUCGGUAUGUAAACUUCGAAAGAAUAGGAAGAAUAAAUGACGGUACUAUUUAUAAGGUCCGGCUAACUACGUGCCAGCAGCCGCGGUAAUACGUAGGGACCAAGCGUUGUUCGGAUUUACUGGGCGUAAAGGGCGCGUAGGCGGCAAUUCAAGUCAUCUGUGAAAUCUCCGGGCUUAACUCGGAACGGUCAGAUGAUACUGCUUUGCUAGAGUACAGAUGAGGUAGGCGGAAUUGACGGUGUAGCGGUGAAAUGCAUAGAUAUCGUCAAGAACACCGAUAGCGAAGGCAGCUUACCAAGCUGUAACUGACACUGAGGCACGAAAGUGUGGGGAUCAAACAGGAUUAGAUACCCAAGUAGUCCCUGAGCGGGCUGGCAAGGCGCAU
rnacentral:rRNA from 1 species